rnacentral:rRNA from 1 species
GAGAGCCUGAACACAGGUGCUGCAUGGCUGUCGUCAGCUCGUGUCGUGAGAUGUUGGGUUAAGUCCCGCAACGAGCGCAACCCUCAUUGUUAGUUACUACCAUUCAGUUGAGGACUCUAAUGAGACUGCCAACGACAAGUUGGAGGAAGGUGGGGAUGACGUCAAAUCAUCAUGCCCUUUAUGACCUGGGCUACAAACGUACUACAAUGGCCAAUACAAAGAGAUGCGAAGCGGUGACGUGGAGCGAACCUCAGAAAGUUGGUCUCAGUUCAGAUUGAAGUCUGCAACUCGACUUCAUGAAGGCGGAAUCGCUAGUAAUCGCGGGUCAGCAGACCGCGGUGAAUACGUUCCCGGGUUU